AUUGAACGCUGGCGGCAUGCCUUACACAUGCAAGUCGAACGGUAACAGGUCUUCGGAUGCUGACGAGUGGCGAACGGGUGAGUAAUGCAUCGGAACGUGCCCAGUAGUGGGGGAUAGCCCGGCGAAAGCCGGAUUAAUACCGCAUACGACCUGAGGGUGAAAGGGGGGGAUCGCAAGACCUCUCGCUAUUGGAGCGGCCGAUGUCAGAUUAGCUAGUUGGUGGGGUAAAGGCCUACCAAGGCAACGAUCUGUAGUUGGUCUGAGAGGACGACCAGCCACACUGGGACUGAGACACGGCCCAGACUCCUACGGGAGGCAGCAGUGGGGAAUUUUGGACAAUGGGCGCAAGCCCGAUCCAGCGAUGCCGCGUGCAGGAAGAAGGCCUUCGGGUUGUAAACUGCUUUUGUCAGGGAAGAAAUCUUCUGGGUUAAUACCUCGGGAGGAUGACGGUACCUGAAGAAUAAGCACCGGCUAACUACGUGCCAGCCGCCGCGGUAAAAC
rnacentral:rRNA from 1 species